CCUACGGGAGGCUGCAGUGAGGAAUAUUGGUCAAUGGACGAGAGUCUGAACCAGCCAAGUAGCGUGAAGGAUGACUGCCCUAUGGGUUGUAAACUUCUUUUAUAUGGGAAUAAAAUGUUCCACGUGUGGGAUUUUGUAUGUACCAUAUGAAUAAGGAUCGGCUAACUCCGUGCCAGCAGCCGCGGUAAUACGGAGGAUCCGAGCGUUAUCCGGAUUUAUUGGGUUUAAGGGGAGCGUAGGUGGUUUGUUAAGUCAGUUGUGAAAGUUUGGGGCUCAACCGUAAAAUUGCAGAUGAAACUGGGAGUCUAGAGUACAGUAGAGGUAGGCGGAAUUCGUGGUGUAGCGGUGAAAUGCUUAGAUAUCACGAAGAACUCCGAUUGCGAAGGCAGCUCCCUGGACUGCAACUGACACUGAGGCUCGAAAGUCUGGGUAUCAAACAGGAUUAGAUACCCCUGUAGUC
rnacentral:rRNA from 1 species